rnacentral:tRNA from 1 species
GGCCGCGUGGCCUAAUGGUUAAGGCGCCAGUUUUCGGCUGAGUAAUCACUGGAGAUUAGGAGUUCGAAUCUUCUCGUGGUUA